CCGACUUUAGCUCAGUUGGUAGAGCGGAGGACUGUAGUUGGAGUAAUAAUCUGAGAGCGGAGGACUGUAGUUGGAGUAAUAAUCUGAGAGCGGAGGACUGUAGUUGGAGUAAUAAUCUGAGCUGAAAUCCUUAGGUCGGUAGUUCAAAUCCGGUAGGUCGGA
rnacentral:tRNA from 1 species